GUGACAGCCACCGCGGUAAUACGGAGGGUGCAAGCGUUGUCUGGAAUCACUGGGCGUAAAGGGUGCGCAGGCGGGGCAGCAAGUCGGAGGUGAAAGCCCGUGGCUCAACCACGGAAAUGCCUUCGAAACUGUUGCUCUUGAGUCCCGGAGAGGUUGCCGGAAUUCGUGGUGUAGCGGUGAAAUGCGUAGAUAUCACGAGGAACACCAGAGGCAAAAGCGGGCAACUGGACGGGUACUGACGCUCAGGCACGAAAGCGCGGGGAGCAAACAGGAUUAGAAACCCGGGUAGUCC
rnacentral:rRNA from 1 species